AACGCACGAGACCUGCGGACCUGCGGAAGGAUCAUUACUGAGUGAGGGCCCUCUGGGUCCAACCUCCCACCCGUGUUUAUUGUACCUUGUUGCUUCGGCAGGCCCGCCUCACGGCCGCCGGGGGGCUUUCCGCCCCCGGGCCCGCGCCUGCCGGAGACAAUCUUGAACGCUGUCUGAAGAAUGCAGUCUGAGCGAUUAAGCAAAAUUAGUUAAAACUUUCAACAACGGAUCUCUAGAUCG
rnacentral:misc_RNA from 1 species